GCUGAGUGGGAGCUCUGAAAUGAGAGAGAUUUCAGGUUGAAUCCAGGCUCUGAAAAGUGUGUGUCCUUGGGCAGGUGGCUUUAUGUAUCUGAGCAACUGAUCUUAAACACGGCAUGAGGUGAACUCCUGCUUCCCUUUAAGUGCAAAUUCAAUCCUCUCCCACCAUCUCCAUGGAGCUGACCAUCCAUCUUCCAUGAUGCUUCUGCAUGCUAGGCUGAGAAGUCCAUGGUCUGCCGGUGGCAAGCUGAAGACCCAGGAGAGUGAAUGACAUCAUCCAGUAUGAGUCCAAAGGUCUCAGAACCAGGAGAGCCAAGAGUGCCCCAGUCCAACUCUGAGUGCGAAGGCAGAAGACUGAUGUCCCAGCUCAAAGAUAGUCAGCCACAGUUUCAUCAUAUGGCAAACUGAUACACCUGCCUCAAAAGACUGUUGCAGAGUCUCAAGAAGAUAAUAUGGAAAUAUAUAGUGUUGCACUCAGC